GCGCUGAAGCCCGGACUACAGCUCCCGGUGUGCCCCGCGGACACCCGCCUGCCUGAGCUGCCAGCCUCGUGACACGUACAAAGGAAGCACCACGGAGGAGCUGAUCUUCUGCAGUGAGGCCAUCAAGUUAGCCAUGAAACUGCAAGCCGUGCAGUGCCUGGAGUGCUCAGUUCAUGAAUAAGCACUGAAGGAUUCUGGUUCCCUUUGCCUGCUGCUCCUCUUUCCUCUGUGGCCAACACCAUGGAAAAGACCCAAGGUUCUCCAGCCUGCUCUCAGUAGAGAAAGACUGACUGCAUCUCUUGCCAAGAAGGCUUCUUGAUGUAAUGAGAGGGGUGCUGCUCCCACGUGAGAAACCAAGAGAAAGGGAUGGAAAAUAUAUGUAUAAUUCAGGAGUC
rnacentral:lncRNA from 1 species